CGCGGCGGCAGCGGGAACCGGCGGAGCAGGAGCUGCAGCGGCGCCGGGAGCUGAAACGGCGGCGCCGGGACGCGCAGCAGCUGCAGCAGCUGCAGCACCUGGAGUCCUUUUAUGAGAAUCCUCCUCCUGGGC